rnacentral:rRNA from 1 species
AUUGAACGCUGGCGGCAGGCCUAAUACAUGCAAGUCGAGCGGUUGAAGGGAGGUUGCUUCUGGAUUCAGCGGCGGACGGGUGAGUAAAGCCUAGGAAUAUGCUUGGUAGUGGGGGAUAAUGUCCGGAAACGGGCGCAAAUAAUGCAUACGAACUGUGGGUGUAAGAGGGGGAUCUUCGGAAAUCACGAUAUCAGAUAAGACUAGGUCGGCUUAGCUAGUUGGUGGGGUAAAGGCCUACCAAGGCGAAGAUCCGUAACUGGUCUGAGAGGAUGAUCAGUCACACUGGAACGGGGACACGCUCCGGACUCCUACGGAAGGCGGCAGUGGGGAAUAUUGGACAAGGACCGAAAGCCUGAUCCAGCCAUGCCGCGUGUGUGAAGAAGGUCUUCGGAUGGUAAAGCACGUUAUGUUAGAAGGAAGGGCAGUAAGUUAAUACCUUCCUGUUUUGACGUUACCUACAGAAUAAGCACCGGCUAACUUCGUG